rnacentral:lncRNA from 1 species
UUGGCCGCCUUCCUGAGCCCGGAUGCUCGGCCCGCCUUGAGGAAAGUUGAUCCUCGCGUCGCCCUCGUCGUUUUGGUCCGCUCGGCUCGCUAAUCCGGUGAGUUUAGCUCACUAAACCUCGCUUAGAGGGUUAAUUAUGCUUUAGGUGUGCUUAGCUUAAGUUAAUUAAGCUUAGGUUGUUAGUUUAAUUUAUUUAAUUGUGAAUUAGAUUGAGAUGUUUGUUUAAUUUAAAGUAUGCUUAAUUAAAGGCUAAGAGAGUUUAUUUAAUAAUAAACCUUGAUGGGAGAUAAUAGGAUUUUAAUUUUGAGUUAUUUAAUUGCUUCGAAAUUCUGGAAAUUAUAAUAUUAUAUUAUAAUCCGAAAUUAUUAAAAUAUUAUCAUUUAGAAAAAAAAAACAGAAAAAUUAUUUUUGACCCCGGUUGCUCAGAAUUUCAUGCCGAUCGCUGUUGUGUAUUCAGAUUUUGAAAUUGAUAAUUGGAUAUUAUAAAUUGAGUGUGGAUUGUGAAAAAUAUGGAUAUUAUUAUUUAAUUAAUUUUCGGAAUAAAUUUAAUUAUUUAAUAAAUUUCGAAAAUUAUUUUGGGACCCUAAAUUCUCAUAAUUUCGUGCUAAUUGUUGCUGUGCAUUUAGAAUUUGAAUUUGAUGAAUGGAUGUGGCAAAUUGGGUGUUGAUUGUGAUAAAUAGGAAUUCUUUAUAAAAUUCUAAGUGUGGAAAUUGAUGGGCGAUUAGCCGUGAUUAACCACCUAUUAGAGGUCGUGCCGAGUGAGGCUGUGAUGGACCACCUAUUAGAGGUCGUGCCCAGUGAGGCUGUGAUGGACCACCUAUGAGAGGUCGUGCCUAAUAGGGCCGUGAUGAACCACCUAUGAGAGGUCGUGCCCAGUGAGGCCGUGAUGGACCACCUAUGAGAGGUCGUGCCCAGUGAGGCCAUGAUGGACCACCUAUGAGAGGUCGUGCCCAGUGAGGCCGUGAUUGACCACCUAUUAGAGGUCGUGCCCAGUGAGGCUGUGAUGGACCACCUAAUUAAAGGUCGUGCCGAGUGGGGCCGUGAUUGCUACUGAUUGUUAAACCUUCCUAUAGGGCCGUAAUUGAGAGCAAUGAUUGAUUUGCUAGAAUGACAUGUAAUCGGCCAAGUCGAUUGAUCGCUGAGACGAUCCAAGUGGUUGAAUUGUUCUGAUGACGUGAUUGUGCCAUGGUUGUUUGGUUAACAUAAUUGUACAUGGUUGAAUUAUAUAAAUUGUGCUAACCUGUAGAUGAAGGCUGAGGCGAGGUAAGUCUUCUGUGUGAUGUGGCUAGGCCACUUGGGGUGUAUUUUCUUUCUAAUAGGGGUUUAGGGGGUUGAACUUGCUGAGACAUCUUCUCAUCCCGGUUGUGGGAUUAAAAUUUUAGGUCCCCGGUGGACGGAGCGGCCAGAUAGCUUUGGUUGGCCUUGAGGAGUUGCAGAGGUGAAGUCAUAAGGAUUGGAGAGCGUGUCCGACUUGUAGGUCAUAGGACAGUUCAUUUUUAAGAG